rnacentral:rRNA from 1 species
AGAGUUUGAUCAUGGCUCAGAGCGAACGCUGGCGGCAGGCCUAACACAUGCAAGUCGAGCGCCCCUCCUUCAAGCGAGCUUGGAGGAUUGCGGAGCGGUCUCCUGGGCGGGCGAAAGCUCGCUUGACGGAUAUCGCUUUGAGAUCAGGCGAGCCUUUAGGGGCUCGCUUGAUGGAGGGGAGCGGCAGACGGGAGAGUAACACGUGGGAACGUACCCUUUGGUUCGGAACAACCCAGGGAAACUUGGGCUAAUACCGAAUAAGCCCUUACGGGGAAAGAUUUAUCGCCGAAGGAUCGGCCCGCGUCUGAUUAGCUAGUUGGUGAGGUAACGGCUCACCAAGGCGACGAUCAGUAGCUGGUCUGAGAGGAUGAUCAGCCUCACUGGGACUGAGACACGGCCCAGACUCCUACGGGAGGCAGCAGUGGGGAAUAUUGGACAAUGGGCGCAAGCCUGAUCCAGCCAUGCCGCGUGGGUGAUGAAGGCCCUAGGGUUGUAAAGCCCUUUCGGCGGGGAAGAUAAUGACGGUACCCGCAGAAGAAGCCCCGGCUAACUUCGUGCCAGCAGCCGCGGUAAUACGAAGGGGGCUAGCGUUGCUCGGAAUCACUGGGCGUAAAGCGCACGUAGGCGGAUUGCUAAGUCAGGGGUGAAAUCCUGGAGCUCAACUCCAGAACUGCCUUUGAUACUGGUGAUCUUGAGUCCGGGAGAGGUGAGUGGAACUGCGAGUGUAGAGGUGAAAUUCGUAGAUAUUCGCAAGAACACCAGUGGCGAAGGCGGCUCACUGGCCCGGUACUGACGCUGAGGUGCGAAAGCGUGGGGAGCAAACAGGAUUAGAUACCCUAGUAGUCC